CUCGGCAUUUGUAAUCUUCUGGGUAAUUCAUAGUUUCCUCUAGUAUUUCAAUAUCUGGUAACAUUUGAUAAAACUGCUCAAACGCUGCUCUAUCCUUUCCCCGAUUCGCGAACUCCAUCCAUAGUUCUAUAAAAGGCUUAGUAGGCCUAUCGGUGAUCGAAUUUUCUCCUGAUUUCAUAAAGCCAUUCCAGUAAGAUAAAUUGCAUUUAUCCUCUUUAAAAUUCACAUCUUCUUCGGUAAUCAAAGGCCAAAACCGUCUGACUUGAUCUUCUAAACAAUACAGACAUGCCAUUUUAUAAUUUUCUACGUCGGCGAAUUCACCCGAAUUCAAGAUAUUCAACGCGGUCGCUUUGUAACCAAUUGUUCCGAAAGAAUCCAAGACGAUAUGCUCGAUACAUUUGUAAAAUGUUUUUCCGCAUUUAAAAACGCUACCGUGUACGCCUUUCCAUUCCAGAAGUUCUUUGCCAAAAGUGACAAUUUUUUCAUCUAUUUGCGAUCUGAUUCGAGACGGAAUCCGAGCAACGAGUAUUUUUUCACAGCUGAAGAAUGGA